AACGAACGCUGGCGGCAGGCCUAACACAUGCAAGUCGAGCGAGGACUUCGGUUCUAGCGGCGGACGGGUGAGUAACGCGUGGGAAUGUGCCCUUCUCUACGGAAUAGCCCUGGGAAACUGGGAGUAAUACCGUAUACGCCCUUUUGGGGAAAGAUUUAUCGGAGAAGGAUCAGCCCGCGUUGGAUUAGGUAGUUGGUGGGGUAAUGGCCUACCAAGCCGACGAUCCAUAGCUGGUUUGAGAGGAUGAUCAGCCACACUGGGACUGAGACACGGCCCAGACUCCUACGGGAGGCAGCAGUGGGGAGUCUUAGACAAUGGGGGCAACCCUGAUCUAGCCAUGCCGCGUGAGUGACGAAGGCCUUAGGGUUGUAAAGCUCUGUCAGCUGGGAAGAUAAUGACGGUACCAGCAGAAGAAGCCCCGGCUAACUCCGUG
rnacentral:rRNA from 1 species